rnacentral:pre_miRNA from 9 species
UUACGAUAGCGUAAAAGCUAACUCAAAUUUGUAUGGGGUUGGAGCGUGUGCCUACGCGUGCCUCUAGGGGCGCCGUUCCAACUACUUACAAAUUUGAGUUAACUUUUACGCUAUCGA